rnacentral:rRNA from 1 species
ACGAACGCUGGCGGCAUGCCUAACACCUGCAAGUCGAACGAGACCUUCGGGUCUAGUGGCGCACGGGUGCGUCACGCGUGGGAACCUGCCCUUAGGUUCGGAAUAACUCCCCGAAAGGGGUGCUAAUACCGGAUAAUGUCUUCGGACCAAAGAUUUAUCGCCUUUGGAUGGGCCCGCGUUGGAUUAGCUAGUUGGUAGGGUAAAAGCCUACCAAGGCGACGAUCCAUAGCUGGUCUGAGAGGAUGAUCAGCCACACUGGGACUGAGACACGGCCCAGACUCCUAGGGAGGGAAGAGUGGGGGAAUAUUGGAAAUGGGGGGAAAGCCUAACCCAGCAAGGCCGGGUGAGUGAUGAAGGCCUUAGGUUUGUAAAGCUCUUCUACCCGGGAUGAUAAUGACGGUACCGGGAAAAAAAGCCCCGGCUAACUCCGU